UGGAUCUUCUCUUUUCUUCUCUUUUCUUUUCUUUUCUUUUCUUUUCUUUUCUUUUCUUUUCUUUUCUUUUCUUUCCUUUCCUUUCCUUUCCUUUCCUUUCCUUUCCUUUCCUUUCCUUUCCUUUCCUUUCCUUUCCUUUUGCAUGCAAUUUACUAGUUCAGAUUUCCCCUCUCCCAGCUUCUCCCAGACCCACCUCUGUAUCUACUUACCUUCCUGGCACCACCUUCUCUCAAAAAGGAAAAAAAUCAAGACCAAAGCAAAGCUAACCAAACCAAAGCAAACAAAAAUGAUACAAAUAAAUGAUGGAAUAAAAUCCAAAGGGACAGAUUUCAUCAAAACAAAGCAGAAAGAUGGAAGCCCAUUUUAUAAUGGCCAACUACUUCUAGACAUGGGGCUUGCACGGAGUUUGAUAUUGUCACUGAUAUGCCAUUGAGGAAAAGUGAUGUAAUCUUUAGCCACUGAUAUUAAUUAUAAAUAGUUUCUUGGUAAGAAGUUGGUUUAUAUGUCUUCUUCCUUAUUUCCACUGCUGGGAAUCUCUCUCUCUCUCUCUCUCUCUCUCUCUCUCUCUCUCUCUCUCUCUCUCUCUCUCUGUCUCUCCCCCCGUCUCUCUCUCUGUGUGUGUGUGUGUGUGAGAUGAUUUCUGUGAAUUCAUAUGUGUAUUAGUCCUACUGUGUUUGGAAAAUGCUACUUCCAUAAUGUCACCCACUACUUCUGGAUCUUACAUUUUUUUCCUGUUUCCUCUUCGGCAUACGUCCCUGAGCCUGGUGGGGAGGGAGGUUAAUAAAGGCAUCCCAUUUAGGAUUGAGUGCUCCAAGGUCUUUCACCAUCUGUACAUUGUCCAGUUGUGAGACUGUGUUAAUUACCAACUACUACAAGGAGCUGCUGGUCUGAUUAGUAUUGAUUGACAGUCUGAUUUGAGUACCAACCUAGUGGGUCAGCUGUAUUCCCUGACAGAAUGUAAUUCUGCUGUUUGGUGGAGGCACAAAGAAUGAAGACAGGAUUGAAAGAGACACUAGAAAGCACAUUGGGAAAGAAUUAAAACCCUGGGUCUGCACCAAGAGGUCAAGUUGACACCAACUUUUAAGUUCUACUUCAUUAGAUCGUUGCUUCAAACAUUAGAGCCAAAAUUUUUAAAAAAGACAGCUUUUGGAGGCCAUAUCCUAAGAAUUAUUUCCUGCAGCACACCAACCCCAUUUUAUAAUGAUGAAUACCUGCUCUAAGCUCAAUCGAAUUGAUAUUGUUUUCCAAUAAACUCUGCUUUGAAAAAGAAAAACC
rnacentral:lncRNA from 1 species